GACAGAGGUGCCAAGCGUUAGGCGGAAUCACUGGGCUUAAAGCGUGUGUAGGCGGCUUAGUAAGUACCUUGUGAAAUCCCACAGCUCAACUGUGGAACUGCUUGGUAUACUGCCUGUCUUGAGCUACGUAGGGGCAACCGGAACAAAUGGUGGAGCGGUGAAAUGCGUAGAUAUCAUUUGGAACGCCAAUGGUGAAAACAGGGUGCUGGGAGUAUGCUGACGCUGAGACACGAAAGCCAGGGGAGCGAACGGG
rnacentral:rRNA from 1 species